rnacentral:rRNA from 1 species
GUCGGCUCAUCACAUCCUGGGGCUGAAGUAGGUCCCAAGGGUAUGGCUGUUCGCCAUUUAAAGUGGUACGCGAGCUGGGUUUAGAACGUCGUGAGACAGUUCGGUCCCUAUCUGCCGUGGGCGCUGGAGAAUUGAGGGGGGCUGCUCCUAGUACGAGAGGACCGGAGUGGACGCAUCACUGGUGUUCGGGUUGUCAUGCCAAUGGCACUGCCCGGUAGCUAAAUGCGGAAGAGAUAAGUGCUGAAAGCAUCUAAGCACGAAACUUGCCCCGAGAUGAGUUCUCCCUGAGACUUUAAGUCUCCUGAAGGAACGUUGAAGACGACGACGUUGAUAGGCCGGGUGUGUAAGCGCAGCGAUGCGUUGAGCUAACCGGUACUAAUGAACCGUGAGGCUUAACCUUACAACGCCGAAG